rnacentral:rRNA from 1 species
UGAAUACGAGACGCUAAGGCGUCGAAGUAGUGUAUGUCAUACUUCCAAGAAAAGCUUGCACUGUCAUAGAUAAAAAACGCCUGUACCAUAACCGACACAGGUGGGUAGGUAGAGUAUACUAAGGGGCGCGAGAUAACUCUCUCUAAGGAACUCGGCAAAAUAACUCCGUAACUUCGGGAGAAGGAGUGCCUUAUUCUUAAGGUUGCAAUAACAAGAUCCAAGCAACUGUUUAUCAAAAACACAGGUCUCCGCUAAGUCGUAAGACGAUGUAUGGGGGCUGACGCCUGCCCAGUGCCAGAAGGUUAAAGAAGCUGGUUAGCAUUUGCGAAGCUAGUAACUGAAGCCCUGGUGAACGGCGGCCGUAACAAUAACGGUCCUAAGGUAGCGAAAUUCCCUGUCGGGUAAGUUCCGACCCGCACGAAAGGCGUAAUGAUUUGGAUACUGUCUCGGAGAGGGGCUCGGUGAAAUAGACUUGUCUGUGAAGAUGCGGACUACCUGCACCAGGACAGAAAGACCCUAUGUAGCUUUACUGUAACUUGAAAUUGAAAUUGGACUUUAUUCGCGCAGUAUAGGUGGGAGGCGUUGAUUAUAAUCUUGCGGGAUUAUUGGAGCCAUUAGUGAGAUACCACUCUUGUAAUGUUAGAUUUCUAACUUUGAAUCAUUAUCUGGUCAAAGAACAGUUUCAGGCGGGCAGUUUGACUGGGGCGGGCGCCUCCCAAACGGUAACGGAGGCGUACAAAGGUUUCCUCUGAACGGUUAGAAAUCGUAUCUAGAGUGUAAAGGCAUAAGGAAGCUUGACUGUGAGACCUACAAGUCGAGCAGGGACGAAAGUCGGUCUUAGUGAUCUGACGGUACUGAGUGGAAAGGCCGUCACUCAACGGAUAAAAGUUACUCUAAGGAUAACAGGCUGAUCUCCCCCAAGAGUUCACAUCGACGGGGAGGUUUGGCACCUCGAUGUCGGCUCAUCGCAUCCUGGGGCGGUAGUACGUCCCAAGGGUUGGGCUGUUCGCCCAUGAAAGCGGUACGCGAGCUGGGUUCAGAACGUCGUGAGACAGUUCGGUCCAUAUCCGGUGUAGGCGUUAGAAUAUUGAGAGGAGCCUUCUUUAGUACGAGAGGACCGAGAAGGACAUACCUCUGGUGUACCAGUUAUCGUGCCAACGGUAGACGCUGGGUAGCUAUGUAUGGAGUGGAUAACCGCUGAAAGCAUCUAAGUGGGAAGCCCACCUCAAGAUAAGUAUUCUCAUC